rnacentral:rRNA from 1 species
UACGUAGGUGGCAAGCGUUAUCCGGAAUUAUUGGGCGUAAAGCGCUCGCAGGCGGUUUCUUAAGUCUGAUGUGAAAGCCCACGGCUCAACCGUGGAGGGUCAUUGGAAACUGGGAGACUUGAGUGCAGAAGAGGAGAGUGGAAUUCCACGUGUAGCGGUGAAAUGCGUAGAGAUGUGGAGGAACACCCGUGGCGAAGGCGGCUCUCUGGGACGGUACUGGACGCUGAGACGCGAAAGCGUGGGGAGCGAACAGG